rnacentral:rRNA from 1 species
GACGAACGCUGGCGGCGUGCUUAACACAUGCAAGUCGAACGGAAAGGCCCUGCUUUUGUGGGGUGCUCGAGUGGCGAACGGGUGAGUAACACGUGAGUAACCUGCCCUUGACUUUGGGAUAACUUCAGGAAACUGGGGCUAAUACCGGAUAGGAGCUCCUGCUGCAUGGUGGGGGUUGGAAAGUUUCGGCGGUUGGGGAUGGACUCGCGGCUUAUCAGCUUGUUGGUGGGGUAGUGGCUUACCAAGGCUUUGACGAGUAGCCGGCCUGAGAGAGUGACCGGCCACAUUGGGACUGAGAUACGGCCCAGACUCCUACGGGGGGCAGCAGUGGGGAAUAUUGCACAAUGGGCGGAAGCCUGAUGCAGCAACGCCGCGUGCGGGAUGACGGCCUUCGGGUUGUAAACCGCUUUCGCCUGUGACGAAGCGUGAGUGACGGUAAUGGGUAAAGAAGCACCGGCUAACUACGUG